ensembl:lncRNA
GAAUCAUUUUCAUGAUAGCUUGAUUUGUAAAUGUUUUACAGACAUUUUGACAUUUUGUAGUUUCUGAAGAAUUUGCACUUGAAACUGAAGUUAUCAUGUGAGACACACACCCUAUUUAUUCAUAAUUGUUGAAAGGAAAAUGAGUAGGAAGUUAAGGAAACUUGAGGGGUUUAAGUCAAUCUUCUCUCUCUCUCUUUUUAUUCCUGACUUCCAAUUGCCUCAUGACUAUUGGGAUGUAUGUUUUGUUUUUUAAGAAAGCAGCAAUAACUUAACUGAAAACUGGUAAUGACAUGACAAAUUCACUGUUAAUUGACACUUUGUUGAAUGACACUAGAGACGAAGCAAAGUGUGUGUGUGUGUUUGCAUGUGUGUGGGUCUGUAUAUAUGCAUUAAAUUAGUUAGAAAGAACACUGAAAAAUAACAAGGUGGACAAUUGUGAUAGCCAUGGUAAGGGAGGCACAGCAGUGUAUAAAAAGUUGAUGUCUCUUGAACCAACCCAAAUGCCCAUCAAUGACAGACUGGAUAUAGAAAAUGUGGUACAUAUAUCCCAUGGAAUACAGUGUAGUCAUAAAAAGGAAUGAGAUCAUGUCCUUUGCAGGAACAUGAAUGAAGCUGGAAGCCAUCAUCCUCAGCAAAUUAAUGCAGGAACAGAAAACCAAACACCGCAUGUUCUCACUUAUAAGUGAGGGUUGAACAGUGAGAAUACAUGGAUACAGGGAAGGGGACAUCACACACCGGGGCCUGUCGGGAGGUCAGGGGGAAGGGGUAGGAGAGCCUUAAGGCAAAUACUUAAUGCACGUGGGCUUAAAACCUAUAUGAUAGGUUGAUAGGUGCAGCAAACCACAAUGGUACACGUACAACUAUGUAACAAACCUACACAUUCUGCAUUUCUAUUCUGGAACUUAACGUAACAUAAAAGACAAAAAAAAAAAAAAAAGAAAAAAGAAAAGAAAGUUGAUGUCUCUUUGAUGUCUCUACAGAAAGACGUGGGGAACACUGGGUCAGAGACUCUCCGGCAUCCUUGGCAGUCAUCUCUUCACAGUCACCUGAGAACCUGGAGGAAGAUUCUGUUUGCAGAGUCCACGUGGAGAAGGACUUCAUUGCUUUCUGUUCUUCAACACCACAUAACAUGUCCUGGAGAGACCGUACAAGGGGCUCCAUCUUCAUCACAGAACUUAUCACAUGCUUCCAGAAAUAUUCUUGGUGCUACCACCUAAUGAAAAUAUUUCAGAAGGUACAGAAAUCAUUUGAAAUUCCAAAAGCUAAAGCCCAGAUGCCCACUAUAGAACGAGUAUCCUUGACAAGAGAUUUCUACCUCUUUCCUGGCAAUUGAAAAU